rnacentral:ncRNA from 1 species
ACUGUGAAACUGCGGAUGGCUCAUUAAAUCAGUUAUAGUUUCUUUGAUGGUACCCUACUACUCAGAUAACCGUAUUAAUUCUAGAGAUAAUACGUGCACUAAGUCCCGACUCUUUGGAAGGGAUGCAUUUAUUAGAUAAAAGGCUGGUUUGGGGCCCUGCUUUUAUCCAGUGGUGAUUGUUGUACGUUUGAGUGACUUCUCCGUCUUUGGACUAAGACGUUUGAAUGCUGUCCCAUGCAUUCAUCACUGGAAGGCUGUUCGGUGUCGGACGUUGUUUGCACGACGUGGGUGUGGGGGAGUGGUGGGUGUGUGCUCUUUGGUCCGGUCGAAGUGCUUUGUUGAACCUGGAG